rnacentral:pre_miRNA from 1 species
CAAGUACUCCCUACGUCCGGAAUUACUUGUCAUCAAAAUGGAUGUGUCUAGAACUAAAAUACAUCUAGAUACAUCCAUUUCAAUGACAAGUAUUUUUGGACGAAGGGAGUACAAG